GUGAUUUAAUCGAGAGUUGUUAGCUGCCAUUCAUUGGCAUGUCACCCUUCCUCUUCAUCCAUCUACAUACACCUGUGAACCUGUUAGACAGAGAUGGGGAAUUUACUUGCUGCUUUUUGGAAUACAAAGGCAAUAGGUUAUUGGACCCCCCCCCUGUCUACUCAAUUAAUAUAAACUCAAUUUAUUUUAAAACGAAUGUAAUGGAUGUAACACAUCUCAUAC
rnacentral:misc_RNA from 1 species